rnacentral:rRNA from 1 species
GACGAACGCUGGCGGCGUGCUUAACACAUGCAAGUCGAACGGAAAGGCCCUGCUUUUGUGGGGUGCUCGAGUGGCGAACGGGUGAGUAACACGUGAGUAACCUGCCCUUGACUUUGGGAUAACUUCAGGAAACUGGGGCUAAUACCGGAUAGGAGCUCCUGCUGCAUGGUGGGGGUUGGAAAGUUUCGGCGGUUGGGGAUGGACUCGCGGCUUAUCAGCUUGUUGGUGGGGUAGUGGCUUACCAAGGCUUUGACGGGUAGCCGGCCUGAGAGGGUGACCGGCCACAUUGGGACUGAGGUACGGCCCAGACUCCUACGGGAGGCAGCAGUGGGGAAUAUUGCACAAUGGGCGGAAGCCUGAUGCAGAAACGCCGCGUGCGGGAUGACGGCCUUCGGGUUGUAAACCGCUUUCGCCUGUGACGAAGCGUGAGUGACGGUAAUGGGUAAAGAAGCACCGGCUAACUACGUG